rnacentral:ncRNA from 1 species
CCUAACACAUGCAAGUCGAACGCAUCCUUCGGGAUGAGUGGCGCACGGGUGAGUAACACGUGGGAACGUACCUUGGAGUACGGAAUAAUCCUUGGAAACGAGGACUAAUACCGUAUACGCCCUUCGGGGGAAAGAAUUUCGCUCCAAAGCAGCUUGCGGAACAUUUCAACGCCGGUGCAGGUCGUCUUGACGGUCGGACGAAUGCCGACGAUCUCGACUUCCUCACCCACCUUCACCACGCCGCGCUCCACGCGACCGGUCACCACGGUGCCACGACCCGAGAUCGAGAACACGUCUUCGAUCGGCAUCAGGAAG